UGACUCCAUUCCAACCAUUAUUAUGAGUCACCGCCUCCUCAGCAGCUUCCACUGUUGCAAAGAAAGGCAAAUCCAGCUCAUAAAGUUAUGUAAGGGAUAAUCAAUGAGGGACUAUGAGUUCUAUGGCAAAUAAUGAACACUGUGGAACUGACCUUCCAUGGACUUGCAUUAUUUUCCAGAGAACCCAUAAAGCCCUGAGUUGAUUAUCCCUUUAAUACCAUGGCUAUAAUUUGACACAUUUGCCGGUAGAAAUGUGUUCAUUUGCCGGUAUAAAUGUGUUCAUUUGCCGGUAUAAAUGUGUUCAUUUGCCGGUAGAAAUGUGUUCAUUUGCAGGUAGAAAUGUGUUCAACAUCCACUGAAGUAGCUAGCAAGUUUGCUUCAGUAGUUGCCUUGGUAACCAAACAAACAUACUUGCUAGUUUAGAUAACCAAACCAUCAGUCCUAGCUUGCUAUUAUGAAAACCUAAUUCAACAAUACCAAUACUGUUUUCAAUUUGACUUAAUUUGUAAUGUCCAAAAGUCAAAACGUAUUUACCGUGGAUUGGAGGGAAGAGGUCUGUGAACCAAUAUCAGUUUGUUCUAUUCAUAAAAGUAAUAUGGGGUGGAAGCUACUGAAGUUUUAGGGAAGCAUUUUUCAGGUAAAGUCAAUUCAGAGAAUGACAGACUUUGAUGCCAAACCGCCACUACACCUUCCUGUUCAAGAGAGCACAGCACAACAAGCUCUAGGCAGACAGCAGGUCAGGAAUGCUGUAAGACAUCAGAGACACAUGCCUGGCCUUUUCUUGUUCUUGGAGGUUAGCUCUGAUGUUUCAGCCUCUUCUGGAGCUUCUAGCUGCUGGCUGUCUGGCACCCCCUGUUGGUUCUCUGGCCACUCCUGCUGGUUCUCUGAACUCCCCUCCUGGUUCUCUGCCCAUGCCUGUUGCCUCCUUGGCCUUUCCUGGUGCCCAUCUCCAGAUCCAGUGGGCUGUGUUGUCUCCAGAUAAUCGUGGCUGUGUUGGGUGGUUAGACAGCGGGUGUGGAUUUGAGCAUCAGCCUCCAGAUUCAUCUGCUCCAGGAGGGGGUAAGAAGACAGUCCCAGUAGGAGACGGAGAUCGUCCAGAAGAAGAAGAGGUGUCCAUCUCCUCAGAGACUGCAGGAAAGGUC